GUUUAAGGCAGUGACUGUAGACACGUUUAAAGAGGAGAAUCCAAUAACAUAAUCUGCUGAUCACAAAUAAACACAACACCCCAAAUCAGUGACGACUGCAGGAUAUAUAUAAAUAUAUAUUUAUAAAUUCAAUCCAAGAUUGGUGACCUGUCUAGCAGCAAUAUGAAUUCAAAGGGUGGCACUGCACUGUCCCGACGCAACUAUCGCCUGGCAUCUGACACAGACAAACCCAAAGUUACAGGUAUUGUCAAUGAGAAGUUGUUGAGCGAUUAUCUGCAUCAUGUGUUUCCUGUCUUUGGUAAGCAGGGGCCAGUGUCAGCGACAUACAGAAAAUCUCUGACAUUCCAGGAUCUCGGAGCCCAUCUGGAGAAGCUGCUGGCUGAAGAUAACCUCACAGAAGACGAAAGAGAUCAGGUAGAAGGUUGUCUUGGACCUUCGACUGUUGUGCUGGAUCACAGCAGUGGGUUUGAAGGCUUGUUAUUUGUUGAUGAUGACCUUUUGGGGGUUAUCGGCCACAGCAACUUCAGCUCCAUCAGAGCCACCACAUGUGUUUACAAAGGGAAAUGGGUGUAUGAAGUUCUCAUCUCAUCUCAAGGCCUGAUGCAAAUCGGAUGGUGCACAUUGAACUGCAGGUUCAACCAAGAGGAAGGCGUUGGCGACACGCCAGACUCGUACGCCUACGACGGAAACAGAGUUCGCAAAUGGAAUGUGACAACCACCAAUUAUGGCAAGUCUUGGGCUGCUGGGGAUAUCGUCAGCUGUUUGAUAGACUUGGAUGAAGGAACGAUUACAUUUUGUCUAAACGGACAGUCCCUAGGUAUCGCAUUCAGUAAUAUUAAGAUGGGACCGGGCGUUGCAUAUUUUCCUGCGAUCAGUCUCUCGUUCAAAGAGUCUGUAGCCUUCAACUUCGGCAGCCGUCCUCUCAGGUACCCUGUGGAAGGCUACCUUCCUCUGCAAAGCCCACCAUCAGCUGACCUAAUCAAAGCCAACAGGCUUCUGGGAUACCUCAAGACUGUUCUGGCCACCUCUAUUGACACACAGGAGGAAAAGCUUGUCGAGAUAGACAGCGCAUCUUGGCAGAUUCUUGGUGAUCCAACGAUCCUGGUCACCCUAGCGCAUAUAUUUAACCACUUUGCACCUCUUAUGUGUAAGGUCUACUUGGUGGAAGAUGUGCUGAUGAACUUCCUGUUGGGUAUUCUGGAGGGUGGCGGAUCCGUGGACGAACAUCCACUUAUACAACAACUGUUGGACCUUUUCUGGCUUCUCAUGGAGGACUACGAAGUGAACGAGUGUUUGAAGCAGCUGGUGAUGUCAUUGCUAAGAGCCUAUCGUUUCUCUCCCAUCAUCCCUGACCUCGGCUUUCAGAUUCAUUACCUCCGUUUGACCACAGCAAUCCUCCGUCAUGAGAAGUCCAGGAAGUUCCUGCUGAGCAACGUUCUGUUUGAUGUGCUGCGGUCUGUGGUCUUCUUCUACAUCAAGACCCCUCUGAGGGUGAAGGAAGCGGGGCUAGAGGAGCUCAUCCCAACCACAUGGUGGCCAACACGCUUUGACAAAGAGGGCAAAGAUGAGAGAGACACUCGCGAGGAGACGGCAGAUGAGAGGCUGAGACGCCGAGCAUAUGAGCGUGGCUGUCACAGGCUCAAAAAGAGGAUUGAGGUUGUGGAGGAGUUACAGGUUCAGAUCCUCAGGCUGAUGCUAAACAACAAAGACAAAGGGACGGGAGAGGCAUCCCGAUACAUUUUCCUGAACAAAUUCCGCAAGUUCCUUCAAGAGAAUGCCAGCAACCGAGGGAACCCCACAGUGUUGUGUCCUCCUGAAUACAUGGUGUGUUUCUUACACCGGCUCAUCGCGGCCAUCAGGAGCUACUGGGAUGAAGGCAAGAGGAAAAUUCCAGGAUCGAUCAGCAGUGAAGAUGCCUAUGUGCCCCCUCAACUCUUUUACAACGGGAAGGUUGACUACUUUGACCUUCAACGGUUGGGAGGGCUUCUCUCGCAUUUGAAGAAAACACUCAAAGAUGACCUAGCCGCAAAGGCCAACAUCAUCAUAGACCCAGCGGAGAUCCAGUCCACCUCCAUGGAUGAUCUGGAUGAGGAUGAGGAGACCGGAGCUGCCCAGAGACCAUCUGGCGCUGUUGCCAUGGGUGGUGCUUUGGCCCGGCCCAGCUGGUUAAGUUCCCCAACGCUGGGCAGAGCCAACCGCUUCCUGAGCACUGCUGCUGUCAGCCUCAUGACCCCUCGACGACCUCUUGCUCCACCUGAGAAGGUCAAGGUCCGGACCCUUGCUGUUGAGCAGAGGACAGAGGAAGACAUCGAGGGAAGCCAUGGUAACGACGGCCUGUUGCUGGGGCGACCGUUAGAAGAGCCCGACCAGCCAAUCACAGAGAAGUCCCUGUUGGAGAUUCUGGAUGGAGUUGUGAUGAUGUACAAUCUAAGCGUUCAUCAACAGCUUGGCAAGAUGGUGGUUGUAUCUGAUGAUGUUCAUGAAUACGCCAUCGCCCUCAAAGACACAGAGGAGAAGAUUGCCCGAUGCCCUAGCAGAAGACCGGAUAUUCUAGAAGAGUUGCAAAAGAGCCAAAAAGUGUUUGCUGAGAAGCUGAACCACCUGAGUCGUAGGUUGGCCUGGAUCAACGCCACCAUCUACUCCAAGGAGAAGAUGUUGGAUGUGUACUGGCUGCUGAGAGUGUGUAUCCGCACUAUCGAGCAUGCAGAUAGCACUGGCUCUCUUUUCGCCUUCAUGCCGGAGUUCUACCUCAAUGUGGCCAUGAACAGCUACAGCGCACUCAAGAACUACUUCAGCCCCUCCAACUGUAUGGAAGAACUUCCUGGUUAUGAGGACACUCUUGCACAGCUUGCGGCUAUUCUCGCCAAACACUUUGCCGAUCCACGCAUCGUCGGGACGGAUAUCAAAGACUCACUCAUGCAAGCUUUGGCCAGUUACGUGUGUUACCCACAGUCACUACGUGCCGUUGAGAGGAUACCAGAGGAGCAGCGAAUGGCUAUGAUGAGGAACUUACUGGCUCCGUAUGAACAGAGACCCUGGGCUCAAACCAACUGGAUCCUGGUUCGUCUUUGGAGGGGUUGUGGCUUUGGCUACAGAUACACUCGACUGCCUCAUUUGCUGAAGACCAAACCUGAGGACGCCAACCUGCCCAGCCUACAGAAAGAUCUGUCAGUUGCUAGUUUUCAAAAGCCGUGCCCAUCACUUCUGCUGCAGAGACACAUGGCUGAACUGCUCAGUCAGGAUAAAGACAUGGCUGCCAGCUUCCUCAACAGUGUCUUAAACCAGCUCAACUGGGCCUUCUCCGAAUUUAUCGGCAUGAUACAGGAGAUCCAGCAGGCUGCCGAGCGACCGGAGAGAAACUUUGUGGACACAAGGCAGCUGAAAGUGUGUGCGACCUGCUUUGACCUCUCUGUCAGUCUGUUACGGGUUCUAGAAAUGACCAUCACUCUAGUGCCAGAAAUAUUCCUGGACUGGACCCGCCCCUCUGCUGAGCUGCUGCUACGCCGAUUGGCUCAGCUCCUGAACCAAGUGUUAAAUCGAGUCACGGCAGAACGAAACCUGUUUGACCGAGUGGUCAACUUGCGUCUUCCAGGUCUGGAGAGUGUUGAUCAUUACCCCAUCUUAGUGGCUGUUACGGGGAUAUUAGUGUGUAUUCUGGUAGACUCAGACAAGCAUGGGAUCUUACGGGCUUCUUCGGUGCUGUUGUCGGAUCCUUGUUUCCAGCUUCGGUCCAUCCAGUACCUGCUCGGAGAGGGGGAGGGCGGAGCAACCGGCGCUGAUCGCAAACACUUCUCUCUUCACACAUGUUUUGCCGCCUUUUGGAAUUAAAAUCGAGUGAAGCCAUAAAUAUUGACAGACAAGAUGCUUUUGUGUCGCAGAAAGUUGCCAGCAUCUUACUGAGGCUCAGGGAUGUGUUUCAUAUCAACAAUGAAGAAUUCAUUGUUCUGCCACCGUUGGACUGGGAUACAAGUAUGAACUAGCCAUCGGGAUCAAACCAUGCAGCACAUCUGCCGGCCGCAGCGCAAGAGCAGAACAGAACAACCACCGGUCUCUCACCGGAGCAGCGCAGCCCUGAUGAACCUGCAUUGCGCUCGCGCUCUCGUGUACAGCUGUAAACAGAGCGAAAGUUGCGCAGCCCAUGUGAAUUCAAUACAGAAUUAGCUGUUAUACACCCGUGUGAUAUGGAAAUCUUUCUGUCUGUCUUUGUGCAUUUAAACAUUCAAAGAUGAUUCACUGUGAAAGAUUUUUGUUUAGUAAACCCAUUGGUACACAUGUUGAUCA